CCAAGAGCUGUGGAGUCAGCUGAUGAUGGAUCCUCUGAAAUGUUUUCAGAGUUGAGUCAUGAAUUGAAUCAAAGGGAUGUAAGUAAAGACUGCAGUUUCCAGGUCAUUUCUUAAAGCCAAAGCUGUUUUAUCCUUUUCCUGUGUGUCACCUGGGAAGUAGGGAUGGAAGCUAUCCAUCUCCAGCCCUGGCAACGAAGACAAGACCUGGGAGAGGGAGGAGCAAGAAGGAAGGAGCCAGGGACCCUGCUGGUUCUCCAGCGAGCUACCUUGCCCGCCAGACUGCUCACCGCAGACUGCUUCCUGGGAGGAAGGAAACCGCCUUAGAGGAGUGCUGUGUUUUUCCCUCAGAGCAGUUGAAUCUGCACCGCCCUUUAGUCAAGAGUUAAUUCCUUUGUUUUUGCAACUAAUAAACCUACAGUCUUA